CCUGGUUGUCAGACACACCGGUCUCACUAUGGGAGCUGCCCCCACCCACUCCACCUGAGGAGCUGCUGCCCCCAACGGCCCCGCCCCAAACCAUGCCAGCCAGUCCCAGCGGCUAAGAGUCCAGGUAACCAGCUGCUGCCGCCCAGUCAGCCCCCCUGGUGUUCCAGCCCAAGGCAGGCAGCACUCUGUGCUUGGGGCCUCGGGGCCGGUCCAGAAGGCUCCACAUAAAGGACUCAAAACGUCUUGUCCAGUUGCUAAAAGCUGUUCACAGGGAUGACUGGACCCUACUAAGUAUUCUUUCAUCUGUAGUGAACAUUUCACCAAAAAAAACUCUUGAACAGGCUGGAGGGUCAGUACUACAUGUUCAAGCCCACGGCCUUGCCCUCCAUCUUCCACCUGACUGAGAAGGAGGAGCUGAAGGCCACGGCCGCCCCAGAAGAAAUGACACCAAGAUAGCCGCCAGGGACAAGAGGAACAUGCCAGUGAAGCAGACGGGAAAGGAGCUUCAGGUUCAUCCUUAUCCUCGAGGGAAAACCUGAGGGCCCAGCCAGGGUCCCGCAAAUUGAAGCGAGCCCUUCUGCAGGGCAAACCCGAACCCAGUGCCACCCAGGAAGCCACCAGUCAGGAGCGGGCACAGAAUCUCUGGAAGGAACUCCAGGAGACAGUGUGGUCUCCACAGCGUGAGGCAGCCAGGGAGAUGCAAACAGGUCUGCUGUAGAUGCUGGCGAUGAGACCCCCUCUUCCCAGCCAGGGCCUGCUGGAUAAGAGUGGCAUUUCCGUGAGUGACUUUAUCCCUCAGGAUCUGAGGCAUGCAGAUUUAUUGGCUGGCAUCCUUCUUACAGUUUCUCCUCAGCACACACUCAAGAGAGGCCAUCUGUCCCUCGAGAGGCUGUUGACCGAAAGAGGCUGAAGAGAGAUGUGGAGCCCACCUACAGUGGGACCAGCCUUUGGCCUGAUGAGAGCUUGGCCCAGAGCCCCCACAUUCAUCAUUCACAAUGAUACCAUAGAAACCCUCCCAGAGCCCCUUCACCCUCCAACUGAUGUCACCCCGGAGCCAGCUGCAGAAGAUGUGCAGGGUGAACACAGCAACACCGACCCCAGGUCCCUCAGCGGGGUCAUCCUGUCAGCGCUGGGGCCUAAGAACUCCUCGACUCGCUGCACUCCUACUGCUUCUGCUCCCGGGGGAACAGGAGCACGUGUGCCACCUGCAGGAGCAGGUGGAGAAGGACAGCGAGCUGAAGAGGGGCAGCUGCCGACAGCCAGGUGCACACGCUGAAGGAGGAGCUGGACGAGCUGAAGGGAGGGGCUCCCUAACUGAGCAGCCUGCUGCCCCCAGCCGAGGUCAGUCCUGGGGCUCAGGGCUCCCCCACUGCCUGCUCUUCAUGAGGAGUUUCCUGCUUCACAGCAGACGGCCCCUGAGCACUUCUGUGUGCAGCAUGCCUGCUGCUGUCUUGGGAGAAGGCUCUGCUGGUAGCCGCCCCUCGCACACAGGGAGCCAAGGCUGCAGAGCUCACCCCGCUCGCUCUAGGGUGCUCAAGAGGCAGCGGUAGUUGUCAGGGUUUAGCAGGUGGGGAAGGAGGCAUUGCAGGUCAACUGGGAAAGCCAGACCUACGCAAUGAAUGGUGCCUGGAUAGUUGGUUUUCCACUUGAACAGGAGAAAAUCAGCUUCUGUUGCAUCCCUCACACAAAUGUAAAUUCCAAUGAGUUAGGAUCUAAAUGUGAAAUAAAAUCUACAUAGUAAACUA